UUUUACGUCAUUCGCAUACGCGUUGGGAUCCAAAAGUUCAUUAUCCAAGCAUGAUUUUGACCGAAAAGUAUCCGAAGCCGAUGCGUUUUUACAAUUGCUUAUUGAUCAAAUAGUAUUAAUAGAAGGCCAGCCGAGUAAUGAAACAGAAAAGGAUAAUAAUAAACAAGAAAAGUAUGGUGUUAUUUUAGUCCACGCUAACUCUGUGCUUAAUUCCAUCAAACAUACAAUCGUUCAAUUACAAAUAGCAAAGAAUACUGCCAUUCCUGUGAAUGGUAUUUUACAAUGGAGA